ACGGAAAAUGCUGUCAUAUAUCCUCAUGCACUGGGGUAAGAAUGCACAACUGUGGCCAAAGAAAUAUUGAAUAGGGAAAAGACUUCCACUGCCUCCCAUUCCCUUUUGUCAUUUUGCUGCCACGUGUUCCUUUUUUUAGGGGCAUGUUUAUUGGAGAGAACAGUAGAUAGAAGUGAAAGGAAACUAAGGGGGCAUUAAAGCUGUUCAUCCCUUUUUCUUGAUUCCACUCUGUCAGAGGAGAAGAUUGUACUCGUAGUGAACAUAAAAGUGUACUCUGUUAAAAACAUACUCAAAAGGCCAUCCUGAAACUGGCAACUACAUUCCUGAUGUUAAUAAUAAGUAAAAUGCAGAAAGCAACCUGCCACACAAACAAACCCAGAGGGUUUGCUGAUGGAUGUCCAUAUCUGUGAGUGCAGAGCAGCACCAAGAUGCAAGUUGUAAAAUUCUGUGCAUGUCACACAGUUUUCAUCUGGCAACACAUGGAAAAUCCAAAUGCAUGGUGAUGGAUGGUGCUGAAUCACCAGAGCUCUGUAUGUCUGCACAGGUACAUAGCAGUGAGAGUGCCAGUGAGUGUCCUGCAGGAGGAUGAGAUGGUUUGGGCUUUUUUUAUCAUUCUAAAUUAUAGUUGUAACAAAUGUGAGUCACAUCCCUCCUUCUAUGCAGACGUGCUGUCUACAAGAAUAGCAGUGACAACCCAGACUGCACAAGCGCACAUCACAUCUGGGGUGGAUGCUCAGGAGCAACGGGCCUUGCCAGAAAUGCAAUAUCUUGUUUUCUGUCAUGCAGUUGUCUGAGUUAGUUUGAAAAUUUUUUGAUAGCAGAGAGUUCUGGGGUUAAUUUUAAUACUGUUGGAAACAUAUAAAUAGCUUCUUCAUGAGCAAAAUUUCUGGAAGAACUCUCAGAACUAGGGACACAGUAAGAACUGAUAACAAGUCGCUUCUACAGAAAUUUGUUUCUUUGAGGUAAGGAAUAUGCAGGCAGUCAGUGUGUAACUCUGUAGGGCAGAUAUGCUCCUGCUGACAUUUUGCCUGUAAUCUCUGGAGCAGAGCCUUUAGCUUUUCUGUAGAUCAUGAGAUAUUCCAAGUGCAAACUACCCAACACAUCUCACAUUCAAAAACUGUCGUAGAGCUGAUAUUGAGAUUCAUGCACUUUCCAUAUUUACUUUAUUGGUUUCUGGAAGUUCAUGGAAGGUGCUAGCAUAGAUUCCUAGUUUUCCUUUCAUUGCUGUCAAAUUAAUAUUAAACAGGGAUGAUAUUCAUGAACGCUUCAUUUUAAUUUCUACUGUUAUCCUGGUGAAAUGUCUGACUUGUGAAAGCUAAGCACACACAAGUAUUUAAGUAAGAGCUUUAAAUUAUCUAUAUAUUUGUGCAUUAUAUUUCAUCCACUAUAUCCUACUGUCCUCUGUCUCUUAUUUUCCUGGACUAAUGUGUUACAGCCUUAAGUAUUACCAGGAAUGCUCAAGCCUUUGUAUGUCGUAGAAAUGUGCAUCAGUAAACAAAAGCAGCAGCUGUGAACUCUGCAUCUACACACGGUGCUGUUUUAUAUACUACUUUUCUUUUUAAAGUAAAAUUACACCUAACAUGCAGUUCAAAAGCCAGCUCAAAUUCAUUUUGCCUGAAGCCAUAUGACCUUGAACUCAGACAUGGGUUUUGGGCAAAACAAGGUAGGUCUGGAAGACUGAGGAAGGAGGAAAUGACUUUGAUGAUUCAGGAAGGACACUUGCUGGUGGUUCAGAGCUCACACAUGGUCAUUCAGUAAGAGCAUGCUUUCACCUGAACUAGUGCUGAGCAAGAUGGGAGGCAAAGGUUUACUAUUAAACAUGCUGGCCAAAGUUUUCUUCAAUUUCUUCAUUUUCUUCAAAGACUUGCAUAUUCUCUCUUGUUCUAAAUUAUAAAUCAGACCUCUUUUCUAUCUUUGCUUUUUUGUGUCCAAAGUAGAGAAAUGCAUCAGAAUAUUAAAUAAAUCGACUGUCAAGCAGCAUUGUGUUAUUUCCCAGUAAUAAAUUGUUUCUGCCUAAGAAUUAGAGGAAUAGAAACAAGAAAUUUGAGCCAAAAACAUUUUUUGAUUAAAUCUUAUACUGAGGUUCUGUGAGAGCAGAAUUCUAAUUUUCAGGACAAGUUCCUGUUAAGGUACACGUGUAUGAAGAUGUAUGCAGCUGAAAUGAAUACAUAACGCAAGUUGAGCAGAUUUAACUGUGUUUAUCUGGGCUUGUCACAGGUUUUGGAGGUCUUAUUGAUAGCAGAACUGUCAAUGGAUAUUGCAGGCUUUUCAGCAGCAAGUGUAACAUACUUUACAUUGUUUGAGUAGUCUUUAGAUAAGUGCAAUUAAUAAUAGCACUGAGAUGCACAGUUUAUCAUCUCAAAUUCAGUUUCUUGGCAGUGGGUCACUUUGUUUUGUUUCACUUUGCUACUUUAUGUAUUGUUUCUCUUAAGUGGCACAAUUCCAGCUCUUCCGGAUAACCAGAGUUUAGUUCUGUUGCUUUAUAUGUAGGUUUAUAUGUAGGUCUUGCUCUUCAGCUAACUGAGAUGAAAGAUGACAUACAGCAAAUAGAAGGUGUUGUAUGUUCUCCCUUAAUCUGUCAUGGGCAUAUUCCUAUUAAAGAAGGAAGUUCCUGAGGACUUCAAUCCUUAACCAUAAGCAAAAGAUCGCAGGAGUGACAAUUCAAAGUAGAUUGUCUUUUAAAGAAGUUUCUGUCUCAUGGAGGUAAUUAGAAGCAUAGCUGGGAAGAUCUUGCAUGAUCUUUCCCUAUGGUCUUCCUAUUUAUUCCUACCACACUGAGGUGGUAGUUGUUUUUUUCCAUAUAUCUACAUAUGUAUAUAGGUACGCAUGUGCAUCCAUGUAGCUGGGAAAUUGGAAGUGUAGCUUUGCUCUGAAAAUGACUGCAGGUUGUACUUUCUUAUCACUUCGGUCUUCAUGCCGUGCGUAUUCAUAGCUUCUUACUUUAGAUGCAGAGUAAGGAUUACAGAAACAUUGCUUCUAACAUUAGUCACACUGAUCCAACUCAGAUAAAAAUUAGGGAGCUGGAUUCAUUUUCCAUUACAUCAGCUGCGUUUCCUACAAGGUUCUCGAUGGUGACAUGUAAGCAAAGAACCUUUCAUUGUCACGGAGGUGCUGUAGGAGUCACUGUGACUUGCAGAUCUGUUCGGUGCUGGCAGUGUCAAGCAAACGUAUGAAAAGCAGCCGUGAAACAUUGUAAGGAGAGGAAAAAAUUGUACCAUAAAAAUAGGGCAACCAUAUUUUCCACAAACUUCCCAAGUCAUCUGAGGAUGUUUAUCUGGAAACAAACACUGCUGUAAAGGCUGGAUCUGACUGUACUAGCCUCAGUAUAAGUGAAAGUCCUUCUUGGAGAAGAAGCCAUAAAAAGCAGCCACAGAAGCAAAGAGCAUGACUUAGAAACAGGAAAAGUUAAAACGAUCUUUUAAUUGUUGCGACAGGUUUCCUGUGAUGGUCUAUGCUGAAACUUGCCAAAAAGCUUCCUAUUGUCUGAAAAGAGAAGAGCAGAGAGAAUGGGGGAAGAGUACAUCCAGGGAUCUGGAUCCUUGGCCCAGGCUGAUGACCUUAAUGCAAAGCUGCUGUUGGAAUGGAAGAGAGACUUGGACAAAGAUUCUGUGUCAAAUGCAUGUUCCAUUUUUUGUCUUACUCCUCGAUAUGUUAUGAUGUUCUACAUAGCAAGCUUUUUUACCCAGAGGUCUUCUAGAUAUGUAUUUUUCAGAAUGCAUGAAUAAAGAAGAGCUGAUAAUUAGGAAAAAAAAAAGCAUAUAUCCAAUAUUCUUUAGUAUUUUUCAUUUCACAAAAUCCCAGAAACGAAUGCAGAAUAUGGUAUAAAUUUCAAAAUUGAAGUUAUACUUCAUUUCAAAUGAUUUCUAAUCUUAAUUUCUCUAGACUUGAUUAAGUAUUGUUAUUAUUUGUUGAAGGAAGGCAACAUGGUCUCCAAAAUAAGUGCCAAUAUGUUGAUUAUAACAUAACUGCAUAGACAGACAUAAAUGUUCCCAUGCAUGUAUUAAUAAAUUCAUUAAUUUCAGUGUUAAUUCAGUCCCAAUGUCUUUCAUGCAUGUUAACUACACAACGGCUCCACCUCGUGGUUGACUAACUAUUGCCUGAGGAUUCAUUUCGGUAAGAAAACCAGGGUUGAAAACAAAAAUGCAAAAAAAAAAAAAAACUGAUCAGGAGAGGAAAUUUUAUGUAUGAUUAAUUUCAUUUCACUUUUCCGUUGUUGUUAAAAAAGAAAAACAACAAAAAUGAAAAGGUGUUAGAAAGAAAAAAAAUAAAGCUUGAGUGUUUAAUAUUUGCCUUUAGUAUUUACCAUCUUCCAUAUCUAGGUGGCUAAUUAUAAAAAGGAAAAUUAUUAAUAUAAAGAAACUAUUGAAAUUAUGAUAUGCUGUGUUUCUGAGAUUGUGAAUUGUCUAACUGUUAUGUUUUGUUUCUUCUUCAUACAGAUGUUAAAAAAUGAUGCAGCUAAUCAGCAGUUUAACCUUGAAGCUGCAAUUAAAAAUGUUGACAAAAUGUCCAAUGAGCUGAAGAAACUAAAUGGUAAUUCUGAGUUCAUCAUCUAGGUAUAUGUUUAAAGUGUUCUUUGAAAGUGUUCUUUUAGCAUGGUUGAGAAUGGCUCAUGCUUUAUCAUACAAUUGCAUUUUUUUUAAUCUAUUGGUAAAAUACAAUUACCUUCUUUUCAUAAAACAAUGAAACAAUGGUGACAUACCAUUAUUUUAGGUAAAAAUCUGUUAGGCAGUCAAAUUCAUUCCUUUGCAGGGACAGUAAUAGUUUGAUAAUGAAAAUAUUAUGAAUAUGCUCAUGCCAACAUUUUUUAUCACUUUGAAGUAAACAAAAGAAUAAUUUUUUUGCAAGAGUUGAUAGAUGUACACUUUAAAAAGUGCUACAUUCAGUUGCCAUUUGUUUAGCAUGUACCGUUCAAUAAUCAUAGAAUCUUAAAAUCACAGAAUCAUAAGAACCAUAAAUGGCUUGGGUCGGAAGAGCCCUUAAAGAUCUCACUGUCCCAACCUUCCUCCCAUGGCAGGAUUGCCAGCCACUACAUCAGGCUGCCCAGGGCCCUGUCCAACCUGGCUUUGAACAUCUCCAGGGAUGGGGCCCUCACAGCCUCCCUGGGCAGCAGUGCCAGCACCUCACCACCCUCUGAGUAAAGAAUUUCCUAUCAUCUAAUCUAAAUCUCCCCUCUUUUAGUUUAAAACCAUUCCCCUUUGUCCUAUCACUGCGAGACCAUGUAAAAAGUUGGUCUCCUUCCU